rnacentral:rRNA from 1 species
AACGAACGCUGGCGGCGUGUUUAAGACAUGCAAGUCGCACGGGAUAAGACAUGUAGUAAUACUUGUUUUAUUUAGUGGCGCACGGGUGAGUAACACGUGAAUUACAUGCCCUAUAGUGGGGAAUAGCCCAGGGAAACUUGGAUUAAUACCCCAUGGUAUCGAAAGAUUAAAGGUGGCCGCAAGGCUGUCGCUAUAGGAUUGGUUCGCGCCCUAUCAGCUUGUUGGUGAGGUAACGGCUCACCAAGGCAAUGACGAGUAACUGGUCUGAGAGGACGAUCAGGCACACUGGAACUGAGACACGGUCCAGACACCUACGGGUGGCAGCAGUCGAGAAUAAUUCACAAUGGGGGCAACCCUGAUGGUGCAACGCCGCGUGGAGGAUGACGGUCUUCGGAUUGUAAACUCCUGUCAUCUGGGAGAAAGACCUGACGGUAAAUAGCCGGCAGGGUUGAUAGUACCAGAAGAGGAAGGGACGGCUAACCUCGUGCCAGCCGCCGCCGUAA